rnacentral:miRNA from 10 species
UAACAUAUUAGGUUGGUGCAAAAGUAAUUGCGUUUUUGUCAUUACUUUUAAUAGCAAAAACUGCAAUUACUUUUGCACAGACCUAAUAUUU